rnacentral:rRNA from 1 species
UACGGAGGGUGCAAGCGUUGUUCGGAUUUAUUGGGCGUAAAGCGCGUGUAGGCGGUUUCUUAAGUCUGAUGUGAAAGCCCCGGGCUCAACCCGGGAAGUGCAUUGGAUACUGGGAGACUUGAAUACGGGAGAGGGUAGUGGAAUGCUUGGUGUAGAGGUGAAAUUCGUAGAUAUCAAGCGGAACACCGGUGGCGAAGGCGGCCUUCUGGACAGUGACUGACGCUGAGAUGCGAAAGCGUGGGGAGCAAACAGG